AGAAAAUAAUUGAGGCUCAUUUCCAGGACAGAGGGGCAAGCUGGGUCUAAAGAGCCAAGCAGAAAGGCUUCCCAAAAUCGCUAGGUUGGGAGGGGUCAGAGACGUGUGGCUGCCCCAGCUGUUCUGACUCUGCCCCAGCUUUUGGCUCCACCCCCUUAAAGCACCUUCAGAGGUUCCCAUGGCGACAGUAAACAAGUCUCCACUGCCUUGGCCAUGUGCUGUGUUCACCCCACUCCUGAUCUUGUUGGCUGCUCAGGGGCUGACAGCCCAGAUGUGCAGCUGUGAUGAGCAGAAACAGGGAGGAAUGGAGCCCCCAGGCAUUGUCAUCACUUCCUCAAGCUGUCUAAAUUCUGCCCAGCAGUCUGUGAAAAUGUUGUGCUGAUGACAUAUGUAAGGACUCUAACUCCCCUCAAACAAUCUGCUCACCUGAAAGGCUCACUCCUGUUGUAAUAAAUGACACAUAAGGUCACAAUUCAACCGGUACCUAAUGUAUCCUGUAUAUUUGAAAUAAAAGUUAGAGAUAUACAUACAGAGAUUUAAAAUCUAAAACUGUCCCCUCCCCAGUAAGUCAUGUAUCCGUUAAAAGAAUAUCUGGAAACCUCCAAAAGGAAGCCAAGCAUAGACUAUUUGGAAGAACUUGAAGGAGCGAGAGCUGACCCCAUCUUUGUACACUGGCAGCACAAGGAGAACAAUCAACACGGAAGACUUCUGUGACCAAAUGUGUGCACGUUUCUCUCCAUACACCAAGCAAGCAAUCUAUUCUGCAGCAGACACCAACUGGAAGUCCUCCAAUUCAAUUCAAUUCUGACACUGUCUACCUGGAAAUGGCCUCAGCAACCACAGGUUGAGAGCUCAGUCCCACAAGAACACCUCCUCCUUCCAACCAGUUGAAACUCCACACCUCCAGAACUUCUCACUGACUGGCUUCGAGUUGAGGUUUCCACAGUCCUCUGUUUGAGUUUGAUUAAUUUGCUAGAGAAGUUCACAGAACACAAGGAAACACUUACUUAUGUUGAUCAAUUUAUCACAAAGGAUGUUUUAAAGGAUCCAAAUGGGGGCCAGGCACAGUGGCUCAUGCCUGUAAUCCCAGCACUUUGGGAGGCUGAGGCAGGCGGAUCAUGAGGUCAGGAGAUCAAGACCACCCUGGCUAACACGGUGAAACCCCGUCUCU
rnacentral:lncRNA from 1 species